CUUUGAACUUAAUGGUUUCUAUUCUAUUUAAUAAGAGGUUCCUUUUGAAAUACUCCGUUUCAAGAGUCUUCAUUUUCUUAAGCUAGGAGAGAGGAACUCAUAGACCUAUGCAAUGCCAAUUCUAUAGUUUUAAGUUCUUAACUUUUAACUUUGAUCUAGCUUGCAUAACAAAAAGGCUUAUGUUUUAUCAGAUAAGCCAGAAUGUUUCUUGUCCUUUGAACCUCCUUCCACAUCAAUUUUUUGUCCAUACAUUUUGUUUCUUCCUCCAUUUCUGGUACCUGUCCUGCUGUGUAAAUCAUUUGGAGCCAGAUAAGAAUGACAUUCCCUUACCAGUCAAAUCUGUCCUCAGUAGCAGUAGCAGCAGUACCCAUAUGCAACGUUGAGAAAGAACUCUUCAUACUUUGCCACAAUAGCUGGCCAGCUGGAUAUUUUGGAAUAUUUAAAGUGUCCUAUCUUUUUUUCUUCUUGUUGAUAACUAUAUCAAGACACUUCUUCCCAUAUUUGUU